CUUGAUGCCAAGAAUGACGGGCGAUAUGUGCAUUUUCAUUACCUAUUUUAACAAGAAAUUAUUUUAAUUGUUUAGUUAUAAGUCCACCUUACUACACUUUAAUUUUGAGACCGAGUUUUAAUGCAUUGUAUUACACUUUAUUUUUGUUUACCUUCACCUUUAUUUGUAUACUGAAAAUAUUUUGGUUAGAAUAGUUUCUUAAAACAAUUCUUUACAAUGGUAUAAAAAGUAUAACAAAAUACAAUAAAUCGUGGAUUAUCGAUUACUAAGCAGAAUCCCCUAUAGAGUUUGAGAACCGCCGAAUAAAUUAGCUUCUUUUUAUUUAAAUAAUGGCCUAUAUUUUUUUAGAA
rnacentral:rRNA from 1 species